rnacentral:SRP_RNA from 1 species
CUCGAGCUCAGUUAGCGUGGGCUUGUCACCCAAGUGGGGGAUGAUAUGAGGUGAUGGAACGUUGAUCUCCAGCCCAGAAGGUUGGAUGGAUUCUAUCUGGCUAAUUUCUGGCUUGCCCAUUCCAAGCUAAGAGUUGAAACAUGAAACUUCUCGAACGAAGGCUUGGUGGGUCUCCUAGUUUUCUAGAGCAGAGGGUACCGCGUAAGGCUGGCUUCACAGAGCAGCGACCACCUCUCGCUCUUGGUAGUGGAAGGAUAACAAGCUGUUGUCGCACGAAUUCGCAUGACCAGAGAUGGGCUGCCUAAUUUGGACCAUCGCUUUU